rnacentral:rRNA from 1 species
GAAAUGCGAUACGUAGUGUGAAUUGCAGAAUUCCGUGAGUCAUCGAAUCUUUGAACGCACAUUGCCGGUCGAGUCUUCGGAUGAGACCACAUCUGCCUCAGCGUCGGGAUAC